GUGAGGAAUAUUGGUCAAUGGAUGAGAAUCUGAACCAGCCAAGUAGCGUGAAGGAUGACUGCCCUAUGGGUUGUAAACUUCUUUUAUUCGGGAAUAAAGUGCGCCACGUGUGGUGUUUUGUAUGUACCGAACGAAUAAGCAUCGGCUAACUCCGUGCCAGCAGCCGCGGUAAUACGGAGGAUGCGAGCGUUAUCCGGAUUUAUUGGGUUUAAAGGGUGCGUAGGCGGAAUACUAAGUCAGUUGUGAAAGUUCUGGGCUCAACCGAGAAAUUGCAGUUGAAACUGGUAUUCUAGAGAUUACAUAAGGUAGGCGGAAUUCGUGGUGUAGCGGUGAAAUGCUUAGAUAUCACGAAGAACUCCGAUUGCGAAGGCAGCUUGCCGGGGUAGAUCUGACGCUGAAGCACGAAAGUGUGGGAAUCAAACAGGAUUAGAUACCCGUGUAGUCC
rnacentral:rRNA from 1 species